GUGCCAGCAGCCGCGGUAAUACAGAGGGUGCAAGCGUUAAUCGGAAUUACUGGGCGUAAAGCGCGCGUAGGUGGUUUGUUAAGUUGGAUGUGAAAUCCCCGGGCUCAACCUGGGAACUGCAUUCAAAACUGACUGACUAGAGUAUGGUAGAGGGUGGUGGAAUUUCCUGUGUAGCGGUGAAAUGCGUAGAUAUAGGAAGGAACACCAGUGGCGAAGGCGACCACCUGGACUGAUACUGACACUGAGGUGCGAAAGCGUGGGGAGCAAAACAAGGAUUAGAUACCCUGGUAGUCC
rnacentral:rRNA from 1 species